UGCUUAACACAUGCAAGUCGAACGGUAACAGGCCUAGCUUGCUAGGUGCUGACGAGUGGCGGACGGGUGAGUAACGCGUAGGAAUCUGCCUCGUAGUGGGGGAUAACACUGGGAAACUAGUGCUAAUACCGCAUAAUCCCUGAGGGGGAAAGGAGAAAUCCGCUAUGAGAUGAGCCUGCGUCAGAUUAGCUAGUUGGUGGGGUAAAGGCCUACCAAGGCGAAGAUCUGUAGCUGUUCUGAGAGGAAGAUCAGCCACACUGGGACUGAGACACGGCCCAGACUCCUACGGGAGGCAGCAGUGGGGAAUAUUGGACAAUGGGCGCAAGCCUGAUCCAGCAAUGCCGCGUGUGUGAAGAAGGCCUGCGGGUUUAAAGCAC
rnacentral:rRNA from 1 species